GGUAGCCCGGAGAUGGGUACUGAGACAAGGACCCAGGCCCUACGGGGCGCAGCAGUCGCGAAAACUCCGCAAUGCACGAAAGUGUGACGGGGCUACCCCGAGUGCCAUCCGCUGAGGAUGGCUUUUCCUUGGUGUAACUAGCCGGGGGAAUAAGGAGAGGGCAAGACUGGUGUCAGCCGCCGCGGUAAUACCAGCUCUCCGAGUGGUAGGGAUGAUUAUUGGGCUUAAAGCGUCCGUAGCCGGCUUAGCAAGUCUCCUGUUAAAUUCAGCGACCUAAUCGUUGAGCCGCGGGAGAUACUACUAGGCUAGGAGGCGGGAGAGGUCGACGGUACUUCUGGGGUAGGGGUGAAAUCCUAUAAUCCCGGGAGGACCACCAGUGGCGAAGGCUGUCGACUAGAACGCGCUCGACGGUGAGGGACGAAAGCUGGGGGAGCAAACCGGAUUAGAUACCCGGGUAGUCCCAGCUGUAAACGAUGCGGGCUAGGUGUUGGGGUGGCUACGUGCCACUUCAGUGCCGCAGGGAAGCCAUUAAGCCCGCCGCCUGGG
rnacentral:rRNA from 1 species